AUGCGUAACUCAACUCCGGCGAUUCUCUUAAAAUUCCUGACUCUUUUUGGCGUUUCUCUCGCCGACGAUUUCGCUACAGCAAAUGGGCCGGAUAUGCAGUCGGACAGGGGCCCGAAGUUAGGAACCAACUGCGCGGCUCCGGAUGGAAAUAUAAUAAUACUCAAAGGCAUGAAGUGUUCUUGCAGCAGCUUCGAUGAAGGGAACCGUUGUGGAUCAGCGGUAGAUGGUGACUUAGGUACGUUUUGGUGUAGCAAGUCUGGCCCGGGGGCGGAUCCUUUACCGCACAGUUUCACGAUUGACUUUGGAAGGGUCAGGGUCAUAAAUGGCUUGGCGUUGGCGCCGCCGCAGGACACCAAUAAAGGAAACGUUUAUAUGCACGAGAUCCGUUGCGAUGGAAAGCUCGUCGCGUACGGCACAUGGGCUGUGGAUGUGGUGUGGAAGUUCUCAAACUUCGAGCCCAUAGGAUGCCGCACCGUCACCGUAGUUCAUAAGAGAGGGGCAGACGAUCGACAGCAGACUUGCAUAGCUGAAUUGAAAUUCUUCGAAUCGAAGCUGACAGAUAGAGUGGAUACAAGGCUAGGGAAAUGGGGUCACACCAUCCAUUUGCCUAUAGUCGCCGUUGCCUGCGCCCAGAGGCCCGAUGGGCGGUUCAUGGCAUGGUCAGCCUGGGGAUACGACCGAUUCACGAAUGGUCCAGGCGGUGUGACGAAAACUUGCACCGUGGAUAUAGUCGCGCAGACGGUCACAGAGCGCACCGUUAAUGAGACCCACCAUGACAUGUUCUGUCCUGGUGCUUCCACAGACUCGAAAGGGAAUGUGAUGGUGACGGGUGGUAACGACGCUAAGAAAGCGAGCCGGUACAACAUCAACGAUGAUACCUGGACCCCUGUUCCGAACAUGCUCAUCCCGCGCGGCUACACCGCUUCCACCACUUGCUCCAACGACAAGACCUUCGUGCUUGGCGGCUCGUGGAACGGGGGCCGCGGCGGCAAGAACGGGGAACUGUACGACCCGGGCACAAACCAGUGGACCAAGCUCCCGGGGUGUCGGGCGGACGCCAUGCUGACCGGCGAUAAAGACGGCGUCUACCGAGCGGACAACCACGGAUGGCUCUUCGGCUGGAAGAACAACACCGUCUUCCACGCCGGUCCGAGCAAGAAUAUGAACUGGUACUCGACCGAUGGCGACGGGGACGUCAAGGGUGCCGGAACCCGCGCGGACGACAACGACGCCAUGUGCGGUAACGCCGUCAUGUUCGACGCCGUCGCGGGUAAAAUCUUCACCUGUGGUGGAUCGAAGGAUUACGUCGGUUCGCCAGCCUCCACCAACGCCUACUCUAUAACCAUCAAGGAACCCAACACGAUGGCAGACGUCCGCCCGACCGCCAAUGAAAUGGCCUCUCCGCGCAUUUAUCACAACUCCGUGGUCCUGCCGAACGGAAAAGUAUUCAUCAUCGGUGGACAAGAAAAUGGUGACCAAUUUACAGAUAAGAAGUCGGUUAAAACACCGGAAAUGUGGGAUCCUGCGGACAAUUCAAUCCGGAAACUUACGCCGCAUCAGAUCCCUCGAAACUACCACUCGAUCGCUCUUCUUACCAUGGACGCUCGCGUGGUGUCAGCCGGGGGUGGUUUGUGCGGUUCCUGCGCCGCCAACCACCUCGACAUGCAAAUCUACUCGCCCUACUAUCUUUGGGACAAGAAUGGAAAAGAAGCUCCUAGACCUGUGAUCAUUAGUAUUUCAACUGAUAAAAUAUCACCUGGAGAUACAUUUACCGUAAAAACCGAUGUUAGUUGCAAGGAUUUUUCCCUCAUGCGGUUAGGCACCAGUACACACACUGUCAAUAACGAUCAACGACGAGUCACGUUACAGCCAAAACAACAGCAACGUAGAGCGGGGAAGCCCUUUACGUACACCUGUGUCCUGCCUGCGGAUCCCGGCGUUUGUCCCGGGGGCUUGUACUGGUUGUUCGUGCACAACCCCGAAGGUGUGCCGAGUGUUGCGAAGACAAUGCAGGUGGUGCUUCAGAAAUGA
rnacentral:lncRNA from 1 species